CUCUGCCCCCCAGCUCACCAAGAGAGCUAGCUCCCUUUGGGUUCGGUCUUUGUGUGCUGGCUGAUUGAGAGAUCGCCGUUUUUUGCUUCACUGUGUUACAGUUGUGCUUUCUACCAUUAGGAAGAUAGUUAUUUCAUGUCUCUUUUUCCGUUUUAUAGUGGUUUUCAACAGAAGGGCUGGCCCAGGCCCAACUCCUCUACCAGGGGAAGAACACUUGUGGGGAAGCCGACUGAUGCGAAUGAGAGAAGCCCAAGACCGUGUCAGAAGGGCAGGGCUUUGACAUAUUUCCAUUCAUUCUUUGGUACACGUUCCUUAAGUAAACUCCAGGUGCAAGACUGA
rnacentral:lncRNA from 1 species